rnacentral:rRNA from 1 species
UUACCAUGCAGUCGAACGAUGAAGCCCAGCUUGCUGGGUGGAUUAGUGGCGAACGGGUGAGUAACACGUGAGUAACCUGCCCUCGACUCCAGGAUAAGCCCGGGAAACUGGGUCUAAUACUGGAUAUUCAAUUUCUGCCGCAUGGUGGUUUUUGGAAAGGAUUCUGGUCGAGGAGGGACUCGCGGCCUAUCAGCUUGUUGGUGAGGUAAUGGCUCACCAAGGCGACGACGGGUAGCCGGCCUGAGAGGGUGACCGGCCACACUGGGACUGAGACACGGCCCAGACUCCUACGGGAGGCAGCAGUGGGGAAUAUUGCACAAUGGGCGAAAGCCUGAUGCAGCGACGCCGCGUGAGGGAUGACGGCCUUCGGGUUGUAAACCUCUUUCAGUAGGGAAGAAGCGAAAGUGACGGUACCUGCAGAAGAAGCGCCGGCUAACUACGUGCCAGCAGCCGCGGUAAUACGUAGGGCGCAAGCGUUAUCCGGAAUUAUUGGGCGUAAAGAGCUCGUAGGCGGUUUGUCGCGUCUGCCGUGAAAGUCCGGGGCUUAACUCCGGAUCUGCGGUGGGUACGGGCAGACUAGAGUGCUGUAGGGGAGACUGGAAUUCCUGGUGUAGCGGUGAAAUGCGCAGAUAUCAGGAGGAACACCGAUGGCGAAGGCAGGUCUCUGGGCAGUAACUGACGCUGAGGAGCGAAAGCAUGGGGAGCGAACAGGAUUAGAUACCCUGGUAGUCCAUGCCGUAAACGUUGGGCACUAGAUGUGGGGGACAUUCCACGUUUUCCGCGUCGUAGCUAACGCAUUAAGUGCCCCGCCUGGGGAGUACGGCCGCAAGGCUAAAACUCAAAGGAAUUGACGGGGGCCCGCACAAGCGGCGGAGCAUGCGGAUUAAUUCGAUGCAACGCGAAGAACCUUACCAAGGCUUGACAUGGACCGGAUCGGGCUAGAAAUAGUCUUUCCCUUCGGGGCUGGUUCACAGUGGGUGCAUGGUUGUCGUCAGCUCGUGUCGUGAGAUGUUGGGGUUAAGUCCCGCAAC